ACGCUGGCGGCGUGCCUAACACAUGCAAGUCGAGCGGAGUUAACAGAGGAAGUUUCGGAUGGAAUUUUGUAAUUUAGCGGCGGACGGGUGAGUAACGCGUGAGCGACCAACCUUGCACAGGGGAUAACGGACCGAAAGGUUCACUAAUACCGCAUGAGACCACGGUGUUGCAUGACACAGAGGUCAAAGGAGCAAUCCGGUGCAAGACGGGCUCGCGUCCGAUUAGGUAGUUGGUGGGGUAAUGGCCCCACCAAGCCUAUGAUCGGUAGCCGACCUGAGAGGGUGAUCGGCCACAUUGGAACUGAGAUACGGUCCAAACUCCUACGGGAGGCAGCAGUGGGGAAUAUUGGGCAAUGGGGGAAACCCUUGACCCAGCAACGCCGCGUGAAGGAAGAAGGUUUUCGGAUUGUAAACUUCUGUCCUUGGUGAAGAGAAGAAGACGGUAGCCAAGGAGGAAGCCCCGGCUAACUACGUGCCAGCAGCAGC
rnacentral:rRNA from 1 species